AGGGAGGGGCGGGGUGCUGCGGAGGCCACGCCCAGCGGCCGGAAGACCAAUCAGACGCUACAAUUCCGACUAGGCCACGCCUCACGGCCGCAGAGCCCCUCCCAGGAAGGUCUCCGGUCCCCUCAGAGCCGCCUCUUCCGCCUGCGCCUCGCCCAGCGGGGCCGGCGUCGGCGUCUGCGUCGGAUCCGCGCACCCGGUGCAAGCGGUGCACCGCCAUCAUUUUUGUGGGCAAAGAGUCCUUCGCGAUUUAUGUGCCCGAAGCAGGCUUUUUAAGAGAGCCCCUAGAGAGACGUUCGGAAGAGAAUGGGCAUCUUGCACAUUGAAACACUGAGCAAAAGUGUUGGGGGUCGCAGUGGCAACCCAUGAAAUCGAGAAUAAACGACAGGCCUGCCCUGAGUAAAGAAUGCACAUCUCCGGAGGGACUCCCUUCAGUCUCCAUUCCUCCACCCGAGCUGCCUCCUCUUCCAUCCUCCCUUUGAGAUGCAGAUGCUGUGGGCGUCCGUGGCUGAGCCACCAACUAUGUGUUUUCUACUCCACCUUCUAAGCAGAACGGAAGAUGCUUCUAAAAACGAAAAUCCAGUCACGGUCCUGUUGUGCUCCUAACCUUUUUAAAAAAUGGCAGUCCGUUACCUGUAGAAUAAAGACCAAACUCCGUAGUUCAA